rnacentral:tRNA from 1 species
GACCCCGUAGCUCAAUUGGCAGAGCAGCGGACUUUUAAUCCGUUGGUUCUGGGUUCGAGUCCCAGCGGGGUCA